AGCGUUUGGUUCCGGCAUCAGGGCGAGAGGGCAGCGGACUACAGGGAAAAGGCAACUGCUGGGGACGCGCAUGCGCGCUGCUGGAGCAUGCGUACGGCGUCGGCGACCGCCCAAGUCUGGGUCUGCGAGAGCGGUACCAUGCUUGGCGCUAGUGCUGUCGCGCGUGCGUUGGUAUGGUAGGGCAGUGGUCGACGCGCCGCAGGCCCUUUGGCUCCUGGCCGGUGUUUCCCGUGUGGAUUUCCAGGGCCAGUUUUAGUUUCAUAUGCUCGUUGGUUUGGGCGUGAUUUGUUCGUGUCUGAGCACGCUGAAUCUUCCGUUUUCCCAUGACCAGCCGGCCUCCCAUCCCUGGUGAAAUACCGCGAGUCUGGCCGACUCUCCGCUGUGUGCCAGAGCGCCUUGGGCAGGGCAGUACGAGACUGCCCUGGGAGCCCGGCUGGAUCGUUGAGUACAAAAAACCAGAAGGAGAGAUCCAUGUCUGGGUUAGGGUAGACCUAAGGGAAAGAGGCGGACGCUUAGUUCUUUUCCAGGCUCUUCUUUGGGGAUUUAGUCCUAUUAGUUGCCAAACUUGGAAGCAUUUUUCCUUGGUCUUGUUUGACAAUAAAAUGGUCUGAUUCCAUUUCUACUUCGUUGUUCUUUCCGAAGUAAUCGAGAGGAAGGAGAACUCUGAAGUUCACUACUUUCGUGCGAAUCCUGGUCCUGUCACUUGGGGUUGUAGGAUUUGGGACUAAUUGCUUCAUCUCAUGAGCUCCGGUUUCUUCAUGUCUCCAGUGGAGGAUAACAACCCCAAAACAUUCAUUCUCACUGGGUUAUUUUGAGAUCUAACAGGAUAAUCUGUUAGAUUAUCUGUAUGCAAGAGCUCUAGAGAGUACAUAGAGUACAGAGGAUGGACGUUGUUUGUUCUGCUGUUUUGGGGUGGGCAAAAACUUUGUCCUCAGCUGUACAAAAUACAAAGGAUAUUAAAUAUCUAGACCUGUAAUGGAUGGGGGGAAACAGGGACUCCAUUUUCCAACUAAAAAAAAUCAGGAAGGUUGGUUUGGCCCGUUUCCUUUCUGCAUGGCGGUCUGGUGUCCUGUGAGAAAGUGUAAGGGGAAGUAAUAGAAAGUGAAAGCCAGCGGGAUUGGCUUCUGUUUUUGUUGGCAGUUUGUCGGCUCUGUCAGUUAUCCCUGCAGACUGCUUGGCCUAGGGAUACUCAAGACCUCAGCCUUUCAAACAGCAGCUAGUCAACCCGGGCUGUUUCCUUGGAUUUAGGGUCCAGAUUAUGGAAUUGGAUUUGAGGGCAGAAUACAAAGGACAGAAUGGCAUCCUCAGGCCCCCUUACAAUGGGAAGGAUGCCCUAGGCUAUCAGGAAAACUGGCCUUUUAAGAGGGAUUCUCUCAAUGCGCUGAAAAUAUGGACCUAUUUUUUUCCUUUACUUUUUAAAAAAUUGUAGUAGAAUAUACAUAACAUAAAAUGUACCAUUUUAAGUGUACAAAUCAGUGACAUUAAGGAUAGUCACAGUGUUAUAUAAUUAAGCCACUAUUUCCAGAACUUUUCAUCAUCCCAAAUGGAAACUCUGUACCCAUUAAACAAUAACUCCCCUUCCCCUUCUCUCCCCAGUUCCUGGCAACCACCAUUCUUUCUGUCUCAUUGAAUUUGACUACUCUAAGUAUCUCAUAUAAGAGAAUCAUAUACUACUUGCCUCUCUGUGACUGGCUUAUUCAUUCAGCGUAAUGUUGUCAGGGUUCAGCCAUGUUGCAGCAUGUGUCGGAAUUUCAUUCCUUUUUAAGGCUGAAUAAUAUUCCAUUGUUUGUAUAUAACACAUUUUGUUUAUCCAUUUAUCUGUUAGGGGGCAUUUGGGUUGCUUCUAGCUUUUGGCUGUUGUAAGUAGUGGGUAUACAAAUAUCUGUUUGAGUCCCUGUUUUCAGUUCUUUUGUGUAUAUAUCCAGAAGUGGAAUUUGGGGAUCAUACAGUAAUUCUAUGUUUAACUUUUUGAGGAACCGCCAUGUUUUCCAUAGCUGCCACAUCAUUUUACAUUCCCACCAGCAAUGCACAAGGGUUUCAGUUUCUCCACACCCUUGCCAACACUUUUCUUUUUAUGUUUUGUUGGUUAUACACACCCUAAUUGUGGCUGUAGUUUUGAUUUGCAUUUCCUUGAUGAGUAGUGAUAUUGAGCAUCUUCUCAUGUGCCUGUGGCCAUUUGUUUAUCUUCUUUGGAGAAAUGUCUAUUCAAUCCUUUGCCCGUUUUUAAAUUGGGUUUUGGUGGUUGUUGUUGAAUUGUAGGAGUUCUUAACGUAUUCUGGAUAUUAACCCCUUAUCAGAUGGGUGAUUUGCAAAUAUUUUCUCCCAUUCCCAAGGUUGUCUUUUUACUUUCCUGAUAAUGUCCUUUGAUGCACAAAGUUUUAAAUUUUAAUGAAGUUCAGUUUUUUUCUGUUGUUGAUCCUGCUUUUGGUAUCAUACCUAAUAAACCAUCAUCAAAUCCAAGAUCAUGAAGCUUUUCUCCUGCGUUUUCUUCUAAGAGUUUUAUAGUUUUAGCUCCUACAUUUAGGUCUUUGAUCCGUUCUAAGUUAAUAUUUGUAUAUGGUAUAACAUAAGGAUCCAGUAUAUUCUUUUGCAUGUGAAUAUCCAGCUUUCCUGGUACCAUUUGUUGAAAAGACUGUCCUUUCUCUAUUGAAUGUUCUUUGUAUCCCUGUUGAAAAUCAUUUAACCAUAUAUGCAAGGGUUUGUUUCUAGACGCUCUAUUCUGUCCCAUUGGUCUGUACGUCUGUCCUUAUGCCAGUAUCACUUUGUUUUGAUUACUGUAGCUUUGUAGUAAGUUUUGAAAUCAGGAAGAAUGAGUCCUCCAACUUAGUUCUCUUUCAAGAUUGUUUUGGCUGUUUGGGAUUCCUUGAGAUUCCAUAUGAAUUUGAGGAUAGAUUUUUCUAUUUGUGCAAAGAACACCAUUGAGAUUUUGAUAGGGAUUGCACUGAAUCUGUAGAUCAUUUUGGGUAGUAUUGUCAUCCUAACAAUAUUAAGUCUUCCAAUUCAUGAGCAUGGGAUAUCUUUAUGUUUAUUUAAGUCUUUAAUUUCUCUCAACAAAACUCUUUAAUUUACAUUGUACAAGUCUUUAGCCUCCUUGGUAAAUGUAAUCCAAAGUAUUUCGUUCUUUUUAGUGUUGUUUUAAAUAGGAUUGUUUUCUUAAUUUCCUUUUCGGAUUGUUCAUUGCCAGCAUAUAGAAAUGCUGCUGAUUUUUGUUCAUUGAUUUUGUAUCCUGGAACUUUGCUGAAUUUAUUAUUUAUUCUAACACGGUUUUUUUGGUUUUGUUUUGUUUUUUUGUUUUUGUUUUGUUUUUUGGUGGACUUUAGGGUUUUCUGCAUAUAAGAUCAUGUCAUCAUUGAAGAGAGAUAAUUUUACUUCUCUUUCAAUUUGGAUGCCUUUUAUUUAUUUUCUUGCCUAAUUGCUCCGGCUGGAACUUUCAGUACCAUAUUGAAUAGAAGUGUUGAAAGCAGGCAUCUUGGUUUGUUCCUGACCUGAGGGAAAGAGUAUUCAGUCUUUCACCAUUGAGUGUGAUAUUCACUAUGGGUUUUUCAUAUAUGGUCUUUAUCAUGUUGAGGAAGUUUCCUUCUGUUUCUAGUGUUGAGUGUUUUUAUCAAGAAGGGGAAUUGGAUUUCAUCAAAUGCUUUUUCUUAAUCAAUUGAGAUGAUCGUGUGGUUUUUUUCCUACAUUUUAUUAUUGUAUUAUGUUGAUUAAUUUUGUAAGUUGAGCCAUCCUUGCAUUUCAUGAGUAAAUUCCACUUAGUCAUGGUAUAUAAACCUUUUAAUAUGCUGCUAAAUUCAGUUUGCUAGUAUUUUGUUAAAGAUUUUUGCAACAGUAUUCAUAAGGGUUAUUGAUCUGUAGUUUGUCUGGCUUUGCUAUCAGGGUAGUGCUGAUCUUAUAGAAUGAUUUAGGAAGUAUUUCCUUCUCUUCAUUUUUUUCGAAGAGUUUUAGAAGGUUUGGUGUUAACUCUUUAAGUGUUUGGUGGAAUUCACCAGUAAAGCCAGCUGGCCCUGGGCUUUUCUUUGCUGGAAGGUUUUUGGUUACUUAUUCAGUCGUCUUUCUAAUUAUAGGUCUAUUCAAAUUUUUUAUUUCUUCAUGAGUCAGUUUAGUUACAUUGUGUGUUUCUAGGAAUUUUUCCAUUUCAUCUAGGUUAUCCAGUUUGUUGGCAUACUGAUUACUACUUUAAUUGGUUUAAUCUUCACAGUUCUGACUUCAGAAAGCUCAUGGUUGUGAACUCAUUUCUGAAAAAUGUACAUUUGGAAAUCACAUGACUUUCCUCUUGGAAUUGAGAGCUCACUGGCCUUUGGAGUUUCCUUGCAUUCAUUUUAAGAAACAAGAGUUACUGUGAAGCCACAAUUUUGAUUCCGUUGGAAGCUUUUUCCUUUCUUGGCAUGCGUAUCUAGGAGCUCCUGAUUUUUCCACUCGUAUAGUCCUUUUCCUGCUUAGAAAGCGAAGUUAGAAUUUUUAGUUGACUCUUCGAUUUCCAUGCAGUGGUGUCAAUAGUGCAUUAGCAGGAGGUGAUGAAAUAUUGUUUGGUUUGUUUCAAAAUGGAUUAUUAGAACUAGUAAUCCAUUCCUUCAACAGAGGUGUACUGAGCACCUACUGUGCACCAGUGAUUCAGGCACUGGAGGUACCACAGUGAACAAAGCACACAGAAGUCUGUGCCCCAAGCAGCUUCCAUUUAGUUGGGGGCACAGAUGGUCGUGCAAAAUAUAUCUAGUGUUAGACGGAGAUGGUGUUAUGAAGAAAAGGAAAGAAGGAAAGAGAGAUGGGGAGUACAUGGUGCUCCUGUUUUACUCUGUAGCUCUAGCAGUUUAAUUUCUUUAUUAAAGGCAGCAGUGUUUUCAGAUUUAACAUGGCUAAUGAUACCGCCUGCCUGGCUUAUCUUAUCUGGUCUUGAUGACAGCCUUGAGAAGAAGGAAGAAGGAGGGCUAAUUUAUAGGUGGCAGCACUAAGGCCAAUAAAUGGGAGGCAGUUUUAUUUGUCACAUAAGGAGGAGGUAUCCCAGGGGAGUGCUGCGGUUAGGGACCGUGAGGACAGGUGGUGGCUCUCUUUAUGCGCUGACUUGGGCUGGUUUCUCAGAGGCAGGGUGGGGGCAGGUUGAGAAGCUUUCCUACAUAAUUUCUGGCUCCUUGAGGUUUUAUGAAUUACAUCCCCAAAAAACAAUAGUGGAAAAAGAGUAUAGGCCCAGGACUUCCCUAGCAGUCCAGUGGUUAAGAAUCCGUGCUUCCACUGCAGGGGGCACAGGUUUGAUGCCUGGCUGGGGAACUAAGAUUCUGUAUGACGCAUGGUGUGGCCAAAAAUAAAUAAGUAAAUUUUAAAAUAAAGUAAAAAAAAAAAGUAUAGACCCCAAGUCCAAGCUGCCCGUAUGUACAUGCCUUAAUCCCUACUGAUUAAGAUCCCAAUUAGUCCUGAUUCUGGCCCUUCUUCCCACUGACAAGGAUGGGUGUAACCUUAUUUGCCACAGUUCUUUUUUUUGGUAUUUUUUUUAUUAUGGUAAAAUCUAUAUGACAUAAAAUUUGCCAUUUAACCAUUUUUCAUUGGCAUUAAGUAUAUUCACAAUGUUGUGCAACCGUCACCACUAUUUCUAAAACGUUUCAUCACUCUAAACAGAAACUCUGCACUCAUUAAGCAAUAACUCCCUAUUCCUCUCUUACCCCGGCGCCUUGUAGCCUCUAACCUACUUUCUGUCUCUCUGAAUUUGCCUGAUAUAAAUACCUCAUAUAAAUGGAAUCUUGCAGUAUUUGUUCUUUUGUGUUUGGCUUAUUUCACUUAGCAAAAGUUUUCAAGGUUCAUCCAUUCUAGUAUGUAACAGAGUUUCAUUCCUUUUUAAGGCUGAAUAAUAUUCCAUUAUAUGUACAUACCACAUUUUGUUUAUCCAGUCAUCUGUUGAUGGACACCUUUUGGCAGUUGUGACUAAUGCUGUCAUUGGUGUAUUGGUGUACGUUUUGGUGUAUAAGUAUUUGUUUGAGUCCCUGUUUUCAGUUCUUUUGGGUAUAUACCUAAGGAGUGGAAUUGCUUAUAAUUCUGUGUUUAACUUUUUGAGAAACUGCCAAACUGUUUGCCAGAGCAGCUGUACCAUUUUCCACUACUACCUGCGACGCAUGAGGGUUCCAAUUUCUCUACAUACUUGCCAACACCUGUGAUUUUCCUUUAAAAAAAAUAAUUAUAGCUCUCGUAGUAGGUGUGAACUGGUAUCUCACUGUCGUGUUUUUUUUUUUAAUUUUAUUUAUUUAUUUUUUGUCUGCUUUGGGUCUUCGUUGCUGUGUGCGGGCUUUCUCUAGUUGCUGUGAGUGGGGGCUACUCUUCGUUGUGGUGCACGGGCUUCUCAUUGUGGUGGCUUUUCUUGUUGUGGAGCACGGGCUCUAGGCGUGAAGGCUUCAGUAGUUGUGGCACGCGGGCUCAGUAGUUGUGGUGCACGGGCUUAGUUGCUCCGUAGCAUGUGGGAUCUUCCUGGACCAGGGAUCGAACCCAUGUCCCCUACAUUGUCAGGCAGAUUCUUAACCACUGCGCCACCAGGGAAGUCCACUAUUGUGGUUUUGAUUAGCAUUUCCCUAAUGAUUAUUGCUGUUGAGUAUCUUUUUAUGUUCUUAUUUGCCAUUUGUAUAUGUUCUCUGGAGAAAUAUCUACUCAUGUCCUCUGCCCAUUUUUAAAUUGGGUGGCUUGUCUUUCUGUUGUUGAGUUGUUGAUUUUUUUAUAUGCGCUGGAUAUUAAACCAUUAUCAGGUAUGGGAUUUGCAAAUAUUUUCUCCCAUUCUGUGGGUUGUCUUUUCUCUCUCUUCGUAGUGUCUUUUGAUGCACGAAAGUUUUUAAAAUCUUGAUAAAGUCCAAAUUAUCUUUUCUUACCUUCUGUUACCUGUGUUUUUAGUGUCAUAUGUAAUCUCCACAGUUCUUUUUUUUUUUUUGCGGUACGUGGGCCUCUCAUUGUUGUGGCCUCUCCCUUUGCGGAGCCGCGCAGGCUCAGCGGCCAUGGCUCACGGGCCCAGCUGCUCCACGGCAUAUGGGAUCUUCCUGGACUGGGGCACGAACCCGUGUCCCCUGCAUCAGCAGGCGGACUCUCAACCACUGCACCACCAGGGAAGCCCUCUCCACAGUUCUUGAGUGACGUUACUUUUGGGGUAGAUGCCUGGGGAAAAGACAGUCAAGGGUCUAAAGUCUGAGUUAAUUUUUCAGUCCACAGUUAUUUCUCGUGGGACCUGUGAGUGCGGAGGAAGUACGGCCUGCCUACUGCCGGCAGAUAGGAAGCAAGUGGUCUCCUCCCUCAGGGAGGAAGUGGUGCCCCACUUUUAGUUCAGUCUUCUGAUGUUAGGACGAGGCCUCUGUGGGACAGACUCCAGGGUCGAGCGCUGCCUCAGCCUGCCCCUGUUGAUGGAGAGUGCCUGUCUGCCCCAUGGGGUGGCUCCCUGCUGGCCCCCUAGACUCUGUGCAGGUCCUUCGUUGAUACCUUCUGUGCACAUGGUUUUGCAGGAGGCGUCAGGGUUUCGGGCAUGAGGUUGAUUUUCCUCAUGGUGUUAUCUUACUUUCUUCCCCCACAAGACUAUAAACUUAUAAUUUAGUGUAGUGUGGAGGAAUCAGUGCUGAGAUUGUGACAGAUGGACUCAAAAUUAUAGUCAUGAAGUUUCUGUGUAUUAUUCAGCAGUAAAGCUCCAUCGUGGUUGUGCAGCUUAGCAGUUUUCCAAAGUGCGUCCUUGCUACCCCACCUGAUGCAACUGAUUUGACAGGGGGCAAGACAAGAAGAGGUUCAGGUGCCCAAGGUUAUGGAACAUAAGUGACUCUCCUGGAUUCCAGCCCAAGCAAGACCCCCUGCUAGACCCCCUGCUAGAGGGGGCUUUUAUGCAGGGACAGCCCUGCUUGUAGCAGCAUACUGUAGGUCAGCCAACCCAGGUUGACAGGUGGAAAGACCACAUACGAUGUUCAACUGUGCACCUGGGGUUCAUUUCCUGGGAAAGCCAAGCUGGGUCCAGGGAGGCUUCAUGGGAAGGCAGAGUGGAACAUGGGCUGAGUUGUGGUGGAUGGGACUGGGAAGGGAGUAUUAAAGUAGCUAGAGAGGAAUGUUCCAGGGGAGCAGUUCAGAGAUGGGAACAUUCAGGGGCACAGAAGGGAGAGUGGGGGAUGCUCCAGAGGGUUUGACAGCAAGCAGUUGGCAGGGAUUGGGGCAGGGAUGAGGUCUGAAAGUGCUGCUGGGUGCUUUGGUGGCCAAGUUCUGCAGGAGCCAGGGCUUGCAGCUGCAAGGGCAGCCAGCUUGCCCGGGCACAUAUUUCUGUACUGCAGUAUUUGAACCUCAUUUCUUGAUGCUCAUCCAGAAGUUCCAAGCUGGGUGAGUAGGUGAAUAGUUCAAGGCUGUAGGUGAAGUUCUGAGGCAUCUCUCUACCAUGCCAUCCAGCAGGGCACUGUGAGGCCACUUUCUUUUCUGACCUCUUCCUCAGCAGCCAAAUGGUGGCUUCUGAAGGUGAUUCACUUGGCACAAACACUUGCCCCUUGGCUGUUGGCUCUACCGACAUUUGGCCUGGAUUGGGCUGUCUCUUUCUGCCCUGAGACAGGGAGACUGGUUGUCGGCCUGGCCAGCCCCUCAGGGGUUGGGUGUGAUCUCGGGGCCAAGGUCUGGCUGUCAGCUUUCAGGUUCAACAGCAGUUCCUGUUUUUCACCUGGCUCUAGAGACCAGAGCAGCACUGUUCAGUGUUCUACAUCUAAUCUGUGCUGUCCAGUACCAUAGCCACAAGCCACAUGUGGCUCUUGAGCCCUUGAAAUGUGGCUAACAGGACAUUAAUUUUAUUCCAUUUUAAUUAGCUUACAUUUGAACAGCUACACUUGACUUAUGGCUGUCUUAUAGGAUAGUGCAUCUCUGGAGGACUUGCUUCCUCUAGUCCAUCUCAUAAGAGACCGUGUCUCUACCUAACUCCCAUUUAUUGAGAGCCUUUUGCAGGUGGGCAGUCACAACAUUUACACGGCCGUUUGUGACGGGAUCUCGUGACUUGUUCAGUCCCCAAAGCAGCCCCUUCAGAUGUGACAGUGGAGACCCAGAGAGGGUCAGGGGCUGUACAACGUCACACAGGACUGCCCCCCUGGAGAUGGGCACAGAGGAGCCCACCACCUCAUGGCUGAGUCCCUUGGAGCCCUCCCGAUGGGGUGGAACUGGUGCAGCCUCCCCCUUGGAGCUGUGCAGGGAGGGGCUUUGCCAUGGGCUGCAAGGAAGAGAACGAGACCUUCCCUCAGCUUGCUGUGCUAAUGUGGGGAGAAGCUACUGAGCUGGGCAAAGGGUGCACCUCUUUCUAAGUUUCCCGGGAGGGUAGGGCUUCCCGAGGUAGAUGCACAGCUGUCUGGCUCCUUUAUGGUUUAGCUCACCUGCAGUGGCUGAGGCAGCCUCAUGUAGCAGAAAAGACCCUGGACAGGAAGCCAGAAGACAAGAUCCCUUUCUUGCUCCUUCACUGCACUGAUGCAGUUAUUCAGGCCUCAGUUUCCCUUUCGGGUGACUUCUGUGGCAUUACAAGAUGUAACCAGGUGUUCUCAAGGCCCCACUGAUGGGGGACAGGAAUUGGAAAGCAAAGGAAUCUUGAAAUUCAAGCUGGUGUGUAAUCUUUCUGUUAGCUUUUGCAACAAAAGAAUUUGUGUGACCUUGAUGGUGAAUCCCUCAGUUGUAUUCGCUUGUCUCCUAGAGUCAGGAGGGUGUGAGGGAGUGUGCUUCCCUCUUGGUGUCCAGGUAGCUGUCUUCUUGGUGUGCUUGGGGGCCCCGAGAUAUUCUUCUCUUUGGAGAACUUACUGUCAUCUAGACAGAAUUAGCCCCCGCUUUAGGUUUUAAUGAUUUAUUUUUGGUUUCUAAAUUGAUGUCAGUUUUUCUGUUUUAACAGCAAUGAAAUGGCACUAAAAAUUUUAAAAAAACAACUCUUAAUUGAAGUAUAUUAUACAUAAAGAAAAGUACACAAAUCAGCUCCGUUAUUUUCACUAAGUGAAUACACCCAUGUAAUCAGUAACUCAGAUCAAGAAACGUGGCAGCAUUCCAGAAUCCCCCUCCUGCCCCCACCCAGGUGCUUACAUCUCCAGAGUAAUCAAUCCCUUGGGACUUUUAACACCAGAGUUUGGCUUUUCUUACUUUUGAACCUUAUGUAAAUGGAUCAUACAGCACAUACUCUUGUAUCUGGCUUCUUUCAUUCAUCAUUAUGUGUGUGGGCUAUUUUACUGAGUGUGGCAUUACUUCAUUCUUAUUGCUGUACAGUGUUCCAUUGUUUGAAUACACCGCAUUUUAUCCAUUCCACUCUAGAUUUUCAGGGCGGGGCUAUUAUGGAUUAUGCUGCUGUACCCAAUCUUGUGCAUGUCUUGGUGAAUCUAUGUACAUAUGUCUGCUGGGUGUAUGCCUGUGAGUAGAAUUGCUAGGUCAUAGGGCAUAUAUAGGGUAGAUACUGCCUAACAGUUUUCCAAAACGCCUGUACCAUUUUACACUCCCACCAGUGGUGUAUAUGAGGGUUCUCUCUAGCACUUUUGUGGUUUAAAUUUGCAUUUUCUUCCUAACUAAUAGAGUUCUGUAUCUUUUCAUAUGUUUAUAUGAAGUACCUGUUCAGGCCUUUUAUUGGAUUGCCUGAUACUUUUUCCUCUUGAUUUUUAGGAGUUCUUUAUUCCAGUCCUGGGUGAGUCCUUUGUUCUAUAUGGUGCUGCAACUGUCUCUUCUACCGCCUCUGGGCCUUCACUUUUCUUGCUUUUAAUUGCAUUCUUUGAUGAACAGAAGUUCCUCAUUUAAUGUAGGCCAGUUUAUCCAUUUUUCCCCCAAUACCUUCUAUGGCCUAUUUAAGAAUAUGGUUGCAUACUCUGGGUCAUGAUGAUAUUCUCUUAUGUUAUAUUCUAGAAGUUUUACUGUUUUACCUUUCACCUUUAGAUUGCCAGUCCAUCUGGAAUUUAUUUAUUUUUACAUGGUGUGAGAUAGAGGUCAAGAUUUUUCCCCCAUAUGGAUAUCAGUGACUCAGCACUACUUAUUAUUUGGCAUUUGUUUUUUUAGAAAGAAGACUGUUUCCUUGUGAAUGGUUGGCAGGCAUGCAGCGUCCUUGAUAAGCCAUACUGCUAACCUCCCACAUCUUGAUAAUAGUUGUAGUUACUAUAAUAAUAAUAGUAGUAACUAAUUUUUUUUUGUUUUGAAUGUUACUGAGUCCCAGUUCAUGCCAGCCCCUCAGUAGACAGGCAGCUCCUUGGGGCAGGGACAACUCAAACUUAUUUUAACAAAGCAUUUAGAUAUUUCAUGCCAUUGGCAGUUGUCCUGGGUGUUCUUUGUCCCAUGACUCUGAGCCCCUUGGCUUUGUGCACCAGACCACGGACUCACACAGAGGGCAGGGACCUGCUGAGCCUGGCUCCCCAAAGCUGCUUGGACUUGCCAUCCACUCUCUCCAUGUUCUGGACCAACUGACUGGGGUGUUCUGACUAGAAAUAUGAGUUGCCUCGAACAAUUGCUUCUAGGUCAGCUGUUUCAAACUCGGGCUGUAUGUUUUAAAUUCGCUCCUGCUAACACUUGGACCGGGAUGUGGUUGCUCCAUAGUACUAAGUAUUGUAAUACAGAAUUGAAAUGCAAUUUGUGUUCUUCGUUAUUAUUUUUAAAAUUUUUGUUGGAGUAUAAUUGAUUUACAAUGAUGUGUUAGUUUCAGGUGUACAGCAAAGUGAAUCAGUUAUACAUAUAACUGAUCAGUUAUACAUAUACAUGUGUCCACUCUUUUUUAGAUUCUUUUCCCAGGUAGGCCAUUACAGAGUAUUGAGUAGAGUUCCUUGUGCUAUACAGUACGUUCUUCUUAGUUACCUAUUUUAUAUAUAUUAACGUGUAUUUGUCAAUCCCAAUCUCCCCAUUUAUCCCUCCCUAACUUUCCCCCGUGUUCGUUUUUUUUUUUUAACUUAUUUGUUUUUGGCUGCAUUGGGUCUUCAUUGCUCUGCGCUGUCUUUCUCUAGUUGUGGUGAGCAGGGGCUACUCUUCGUUGUGGUGUGCAGGCUUCUCAUUGUGGUGGCUUCUCUUGUUGCAGAGCACGGGCUCUAGGCUUGCGGGCUUCAGUAGUUGUGGCUCAUGGGCUUAGUUGCUCCGCGGCACGUGGGAUCUUCCAGGACCAGGGCUCGAACCCGUGUCCCCUGCAUUGGCAGGCGGAUUCUUAACCACGGUGCCACCAGGGAAGCACCCCACACACACACACCCUCCAACCCCCGCUCACUCCCUUACAUCAUCGUAUCCCACACCUCCUCACACUUCCCCAACCCCUCCCCACGUACCCCACACAGCAACCCGCCAGACUACACCCACUCCCACUGCAUUCUCAACCCUCAGUACCUCCAUCCCACACCUCUACACAUCCUAUAACUCCCCAAAACACACACAUGAACCAUACCCCACACCCUCAACACUGUCUCCUCUCCACCCCCAAACACAUACAACCCUAAACAGCUGGGAGGGACUCGCCAUUUCUAGUUGCUAAGCCAUUGCAGAGAUCUGGGAGACCUCAAGGCAGAGCUUGCUGUGGCUUGGUCACGUCUGGCCCUCCUUCUUUCAGGGCCUUCCCUUACUCCUCGGUGCCCUGGCUUCUCCCCGGUUUUGUUUUUGAGGGAAGCAACAGCUUGUACUCUUGAAAGAAUUCCAAGAGGAAAAACAGUUGCUGUGGUAAUGAGGCCCCGUGGCCAGUAAAAUCCACACUCCAGGGCUGUUUUGAUUCAGGGCUCUCAAGAGCUGCUCUGUCUAGAGAAAAUGUGAAUGGCUGGAGCAGAAAACAUUUGUCCUUUCAAGGAUGGCACUCCCUCUCCCCCCACACCCUGUGUUCAGGGCAGGGCCACACUCCAGUUCUGGCAGGGCAGUUUGAAUCCUAAAGAAGAAGCACCUGUGUGUUUGAUAGCUGGGAGAGGCAGUCCUUUGGUGAGAGCAGGACUUUCCUGACCCGGGUCCAGGAGUCCAUGAGUCCUUAGGGAGUGGGGCUUGAGGCCUGGGCUCUUUGGGGCGAGGCGUAAGUUUCCAAGCCCUUCUUUGCAACCGCUGUCCUUACUCUUACUGAGGAGCGCCGGCUGUGUGCUGGGCUUGUGAAGAGCUUGGGGACCGAUAUCAGUGAGGCUGGGUCCAGUGGGGUGACAGACCCGCGCACACCAGUUAUAAUACUGCGUACUGCUGUGCAUUGCGGAGGGACGGGAGGGGUGUCUGAGAGAGCUGUGAGCCUCCUGGAGGGAGGGCUUGCAGCAGGGUGUGGGCUGCAUGGAGGAGGGAGUCCUGAGCCCAGGAUUUGCUUUCUCAGUGAAUUGCUUUCCCCGCUGUGUCUUAUUGGUUGGCUUUGUGCCCCAGGCAGCAUAACUGACCCAGCAGAGGUGCUGAGAAAACACUUGAGCAGGGAUUGAGUGGAAGGCAGUCUGGAGGCCUGGGAGAAGGCGAGGGGCUGGAGCACAACUGGCACGUGUGGAGGUGUCUGACUUUGAGGAGAAGCUCCUGCCUCAGUUCACCCUCCCACUGUGACUAGCUUUCCUGACCUGGACUCAUGUCCUCUGCACACGUGAUGGAUCUGCCCUUCUAAAGUGAGGUCAGCUCAAGGGCGAGGGAUCAGUCCUCCUCUAGAUGAAGUGAGGGGAGGGGAGAGGCAUGCGUGUGGGGAUCUGUCAUAUGACCCCUUUCAGGGAUGGGGUGGGGGGAGCAGGCCUCACUCGGGCGGUAGAAUUUUGGGGCCUCACUCGGACGGUGCAGGUGAGAGCAUCCGGCCCCGCCGUCGGUCAUCACCGUGUUGGCGCCUACUGAUCGGCCGUAGCACAGAGCUGCACACAUCACAUACGCUCCCUCAUUUAACGCCCCUCUGCAGUUUUGGAGAGUGCAGCUCUGAGAAGCUCAAGAACUCAGCGUAGUCCCACAGCACAGCUUCCUUGUGUGCUUCUGCCUUCUCAACCUUUCAGCCCAGCACGUGGUUAAAAAGAAAAAAAGCCUUUGCUUCCAGAGGAAAUAUGUGUAGGUGAAGACCGAAAGACCUUGUUUAAGCGAUAUUUUCCGCAACAAAUAAAUGUGCCAAUUCUGGCUUGUAGUUUAAAUUUGGUUCAAUUAGGAUUUUUAUCACUUGGAGAUCACACCAGCGAGGACACAGCUGUCUUACCUUUACUUCUCAGACUGUGACACUCUGAGAAGCAGCUGAUCAGAGGUUAAAAUAGCUUCUAGUCUCCUAGGAGCUUCAGCGCACUUUGUUGCUCUGUAAACCGCUGACUUGCCUGGGAAUUGACUUGUAAAGAAUUUGCUUUUUGAACUGGGGUGCCAGUGUUGGGACCCUGCACAUUUCAAGCUCAGCUCCAGCUUGGGAUGGAAGGACGGUGAGAGGAACCCCAGGCCAGGUGAGCACCUUGGCUUGCCUGCAUCACCCAUUGGCCUUUGUGUUGGACUUGGGGGAAUGCUGGGACCCAGUCCACAGAACACGUUACAUCCUGAGCCCAGCUUCUCCAUUUGCAAGCUAGGCAUCAGAACCUUUGCCUUGCUUGCAUCCAGGGUCUCCCUGUGGAUCAGAUGAGUCAGGGAAUUUAAGAAACUUGGAAUGCUUAAAGUGAUGCCCAUAAUUAUUGUUAGGCUAUUGCUGUAAUUGGUCACAUGAAGCUAGGGUACUUAGUUGCAAGCAACAGAAAUCUACUCUGACUGGUUUGUUUGUUCAUUUUUGAAAAAAGAGAGAGCAGAGCCUACCUUGGAGGUUCGCAGUCAGAAAGAAGCCCAGCAUUUCACAGGAAAAUGGCUUGCUCUCAAGUACUAGACACUGCAGCUUGCUCUGCUACCAAUGCUGCCAGAGAGAAGUCUGUGCUGCUGGCGCCUCCCCACAGCUGGGACAGUGAGUGGGGGGCACUUUAUAGGCUGCAGCUUGCUCUUCUUCCCUGGAGGCUCCACGUGGAGCCUUCCCAAGUAAGGGAGGGGCGUGGGCAUUGGGCAGCCCAUAGAAUGACUUGGGAAUUGAAGUUCCAGUCACCUUCCUCCGUGGCUCCAGGCAACAUGGUAAAAUAGACAACAUACCAGUCAAAUUGAAGUCCAGAGACCUGAGGUCUAGUUUAGCCCUAGCUCUUGCCCUUCUUGUCCUGUACUUUACUUGGGUCUCUUGUGGCGCUCAGGAUGUCUGUGUUGUAUGAGAGAUUUCUGUGUUUCUUCUCAUCCUGCCUGCUCUGAUCCAGAGCCCACCCACCCUGGUGACCACAGUAGGCACUCAGGCAGCUUGGGGUGGCAUCAUACAGGUCACUUCCUCCCGUGGGUCAGCCUCUUUGAGAGGAGGGAUGUGGUCUGACUCAGAAGCUCCUCAAUCGGGCCAUGUGGUAGAAUCAUGACCUGGGAGUGGGCAGGCUCUUGAAACAUUCAGAUUCCUGGGUCUUACAGUGGAAGAUUCUGAUGUGGUCAGUUUGAUUUCUAACACCCUCCCUGGGCCACUGGAUCUAGUUCAUGUUGUACCGGAUGAUAUCUGAGGUCUUUGCAGCCCUAACAGUUUAUGGUUUUGGUACUUUUCUCACUUGGUAAUGGACAUGGUCACACUUCUCUGGCUACUGUGCAGAAAGCACACCCAAGCUUUGAGGCUAUUUAUUUGAGUUUUGGAAGCAUGAUGCAAUCAGGAACUUUAGUUUAAAUGCUGACCUGUCUUUUAUUAGCUGUGAACCGUUGAGUAAGUUCCUUAGUUGUUACGAACCUUGUCGUUUGGGCGGGAUGAUAACGCCUGAUCCCAGGGUAGUUGUGGGGACGAGAGGCCCUGUGUGCCUGAGUGAAGUGUGGGCAGCUUUGCAAGCACAGCAUGGUACCGUGCAGCUGGAAGAGUCUAUCCCUCCAGACAGACUCAGAGGCAGCUGCCAUCUGCCAACCUUGGGGUAAGGAGGUGGCUUUUUGAACCCAUAUGUGGCUUGUUUUUCCAGUGGCCUCAACCAGUGAGCCCUGCACUUUCUGGCCCUUUCUGAAUGUUCUUUAUAAAUAACAUUCUCAGCACAUUUUUGCCACCUCCUUGCCUGUCCUUUCACUGGCUUCUCAGUGCUCAUGGGAUAAAGUCUGUAGCCCAUGGGGCAGGCCUUCCUAUGCUGGGUCCCUCCUCCAGGUGCACCUUGGGGGUCUCUGCCCUCUCCAUGGACACAAGGCCCAGCCUCAGUACACCCACUCCUUCCAGUAACUCCGGCGCUCCCUGCCAUGCCCAGUCUGCCUUGAGUGUUCCUCCAGGUGAGCUGAGGUUUUGUCUUCCCCUCAGCUGUUAGUCACUCUGCAUUCCCCUAGCGCCCAGGAAUUCACGGCCUCGCUGUGUGGGGACUCUCCGUUCACCUGUCUGCUUCCCCGUUCACCUGCCCCUCAAGUCCCUGAGGACAGCAAUCACAUCUUAGUCACCUUCUUGUCUGCCAGAUGACAAGACCCAGAGGCACUCUGUAAACAUUCGAGUGAAGAAAUGAAGCAAUGUGGCAGGCACAUGGACUUGGGAGUUGGUUGGGCUGAGAUUUUUCUGAAGGAAAAGCAGACCUGCCCUUUGGGAGGAGUUCAGGGGCUUAUUUAAACGUCUGCAGGCAGCAGCCAUGUCAGCAAGAUCAACUUCACUGUGUGUGAAGUCUACUAAGACAGUUAAGUUUCCAAAAUCUGUUGUUCAGGCAUGGACUGGGGUUGCUUUGACACCUGUCCACGUGGAGAAGAGCUGCUCGUGUUAGUUGAUCACAGGCUUUUAAUAAGCCAGCCACGUGAUGUUGGUAACAGGAGCCCUGAUGUUGUCCUGUUGGUGGCUGUUGGGGAACCACUUGGGGGCACCCAGCAUCGGUGUGAACAGGCACAUGUGCUUAGGUGUGUGUGGGGCGUGUGGAAGGGUGUCAUUUCAGGGGCCAUUCACUGGGGUUUUCAGACCCUUGCUUGCUGCUUCCACUGGAUCCAGGGAUGGUGAACACACAGGAGAUAGGCUCCCUGGGACCUCCCUUCGGGACUCCGCCUCAGAAUCCCGCCCACCAGCCAGAGUUCAGGUGCAAGGGGGAGGCCUGUGUGCUCUUCAGCCCUGCGGAUCUGAAGAGGGUCAGACACCAGCGGCGUGUCCUCAGGACCUGAGCUUCCGGUGGCUCUUCCAUUCCCCACAACUGAUCGUCUGGGCCCCCCAUUCCCCAUGCCUGGUGACUCUGGCUGUCCCCUGUGAUGUGAUAGGGAGGGGGCUCCAGGCCAGCUCCCCCCGCAGUGCCAUGUGAGGCUGUCCCAUACCAGGGCAGGGGAGCUUCAGGGACCUUAUCAUUUGCCAUUGGGAUUCGCUUGCUCUUGUUUCAGCUGUGAGUCUAGCAUGGUGAGGAAGUCCUGGUGGUUGUGAGUUCUGCUUUAUGGCAGGGGAGACGUUUUCCCCCUCCUUCCACUAAAGGGAAAUGGUGGGGCAGGGGGAGGGGAGGGGAGGUAACCUCAUCGUUUGCCAUCAGUUAAGUUCUUAACUGAAAUUUUCACGCUGAUUAUUCAGCAGGAGAUGUUUGGCCUGAUUGGAGGCCCCUCGGCCUGUAGUGUGACUGCGGGGCCUGUCCCUGGGCGCACAGGGAGGCUGGUGUGUGCAGGCCUCAGUCUGUCCUCUUCUUUCCCCACCAAUGCUGGGUUUUUAGUUUUUGCUUUUUUUUUUUUUUAAGCUUGAGAAAGGUCAUUAAAGAUUGACUGGACUGUGUUGGGCCUGAGGGCCACCCAUGGUUUCCUGCUUUCCUGUUGAGCCAGGUGAAGGUCAGGAGAGUCUGUUUAUGGUGUGAGUACAGUCAAGCAGUGAGCCACAGGCAGCUGGGUUCCUCGUGUCACUCUUGUUUUUAAAUCAUUUUGCUAUUAAGUCAUUUUGACAACAGAAUUAAAGGAAACGGAAGAAGCACUGCCCACAGCCCUGCUGUGUGAGCCUGUGAAGUCUGUGACCAUUCUGUGUCAGGUGUUGCCGCGGUCUCACUCAUGGUUACGUGUGUGGGCUCCACACCCCUCACAGUCCUAUUCUGUCUCACGGUGAUGCCCAUCAGGUUGCUACUUCAGCGAGCAGCUGGCCUGCCUCACUGUGUCCGGCAGGUCACAUCUCCCUCCUGGCUCCACUUCUGCCUGUUAUGAGAAACACAGCUGUGAAUGCCUCUACAUACAUUGCUCUUUUGUCUCCUUUGGUGCUUUCCUGGGAUUGGAGUUCCUGACCCAGAAAUGUCUGUAUGUGGGGCUCCUGAUGGUUUGGUCAUGUCUCUCUGAAAUGUCACCGGGAAGAGAUAUCAGCCCUGUAAUGUGAUGCUGAGUGCCAUUGGAUGCCAGUGAGACCACCUGUGUAUUUGAGGUGGGUGGGAGUAGGAUCAGAGCAGAGGGCUGGGCUUUGUGGGGGAGCCACUUAGGCAUGGGGCCCAUGCCACCCUUUGGGCGCUGGCAACCCCAAGCAGUGUGACUCUGGGUGGGUUACUUAAUAGUAACAGCAUUGGGCCUCCAGUUUUAUCUGUGAAAGGAGAAAGCGGUAUUGACCUUAUUAAAUUUUUAUGCUGAUUAAUUUAAAUGUUAUUUCAAUUAAUUGAAUAAUCAAUUGCCUGGCAUACUGUUACAACUGCUGUUGUAGGAAAUACAGUAGAACAGAGUUGAAUAACAAUUGGGUCCAGCCCUCCCCAGAGCUCACCUUUGAUUGGGAAGUCUUCUAAUUUUAUGGAACCUAGUCAGAUUUGAUUCUUACCACUCUCUUAGGGAGUGGGCACGGUUGAGAUUUUUGCCCUCAUUCUCUGGGAAAGAAGCAGAGGCGCGGGUAAUUGUCAGAGGGGAGGAUAGAACAGACAGCUUAGCGGUGAACAAGCGGAUGUGUUGGUAAAAAGGAACUGUGUGUGUAGAGGCAGGGAAGUGGGCUUCCAGUUGUCUGUCUCCUCAAACUGACGGAAAGAGUGUAGAGUCCAACAUCACAAGCCUAGUGAUGCCUGAGGCACGGGCACUGUUUGGAGGCUCAGACAACCAACUUGGGGAGGAGAACCUCAUCUGUAAGCGGGGGAAUUAACAUGUGCAUCCUGCCUACCCCCGACUUGUCCAUUCAUUCAUUGGCUAUUGUUACCCUGCUGUCAUGUGCCAGGUGCUGGGGAACAGUGAUGGACAGGCUUCUUGAAGCUUGAAUCUAGGCAGGAAGACAGGUGAUAAACAAAAUCUCUUGUAGGCAACUACAGGUAAAAUCGAAUGUCUGGGACAGUUAUCAUUAGAGGGCCUGCCUGGGAAGAAUGCCCUCUGCUAAAAAGGGGUGUAACUUUCAGCCCGCACAGCCAGGGGAAAGUGCUGUAACCCACCAACCAUCUUUCAGCUGCCGUGGAGUUUUGUGGUGGGUGCAGAACAAGGUUUCUGUAGGGAAGCCUCACAGAUGUGGUAUCUGCUCUUCCAGCCUGGGGCCCCUGAAGGAGUCAGACAGGUCGUUCUUAAUUUGAGUCUCAAUUUUAAAAAUUAAAUUUUGUCAUUUACAGAAACUUGGCAGAAAAUAAAGAAGCACUAUCAGAAAAGGAUAUUGAGGGGUCAGGCAAGCAGGUGGUGGUGGGGGAAGGAGAGGGAACAUCUGGUUCCCCAGGAGGAUGCAGCAAGAGUUAGGCUCACUGCUGAUGGAUGGCAGGACUCGGAACACCCCAGGAUGCCAGCAGGUUGUUUCCCAUAAUGGGUGUCAUGGGGGGUCCUGUACCAGAUGGUGGACCCCAAGUUAGCUUGUUUAAUCCUCAAACACCCUGUGACAUAGCACCAGCCCCACUUUAACAGGGGAGGGAACAAGAGCCUCGGAGAGGUCCUGCAGGUGCCCACAGUCUCACCGUUGGUAAGCAGUGGAGAGUGAUUUUCCUACCAUCCGGCCUGUCCAGUCCUGCUGCCUGGCUUCCUGCAAACCACAGUGCUCCCUACAGGUGUCUGGGCGGGAGUUGGGAGUCUUGCCUGGCUGCCCAAAGGAACUGGUCCAGGCUGACUGUGUAUGAAGGAAAGGAGGGGACUGGUCUUUGCUCUGCCCUCAGUGUGACCUUCCAAAGGCUUUCCUGCAGGGGAUGUGGGAGCAGUGGAAGGGCCCUAGCAACCCUGUGCACACUCACAGUGAUAGUUGUUCCCUCUGCUGCCCAUCCCCCAGCCCCUCUUCCCACUCAGCCUUUAAAAUGAAGACAGAGGGCUUCCCUGGUGGCACAGUGGUUAAGAAUCCACCUGCCAAUACAGGGGACACGGCUUCAGGCCCUGGUCCGGGAAGAUCCCACGUGCCGCGGAGCAACUAAGCCCAUGCGCCACAACUACUGAGCCUGUGCUCUAGAGCCCGUGAGCCACAACUGCUGAAGCCCAUGUGCCACAGCUACUGAAGCCUGCGCACCUAGAGCCCGUGCUCCGCAACAAGAGAAGCCACCGCAAUGAGAAGCCCCCGCACCGCAAUGAAGAGUAGCCCUCGCUUGCCGCAGCUAGAGAAAGCUUGCGUGCAGCAGCGAAGACCCAACGCAGCCAAAAAUAAAUUAAUUAAUUUAAAAAGAUAAAAAUAAUAAAAUGCAAGACAGGUGGUACUGUACUUCCUUUGGAGAGCCUCCCCAGAUACCUCAAGUGCCACCCAAAGAACCUCCUUUCCCACCAUGCUGUUGUCACCUUCCCUUUCCUCCUCUGGGUCGUCACCCCCUUGAGAAUCUGAAGAGCUGUGGAUUCUUACUCCAGAAAAAUGAGCCUUUGCACACCUGGCCUGUGUGUGUGUCUGAUCAUGGACCUCUGGAAUCCUGUGCAUGGACCCAGGCUGAGUCCCCACCCUGGUCUGUGAACACUAGGUGCCUACUUGUUCUUUUUUUCUCCUCGGCCAGUGUGGAGUACCUAGCAGGAGGGAGCCAGUCAAUAUUUGUUGACUAAUAGUCUGCUGGAGGGGUUAUCUGCCACCCCCUUUGAGCACGACUGGUUCCCCAGUUGCACUUGUGGCAAGAAUAGGACCCGACUUGGCUUGGGGCCACCUCCCCACACUAGUCUGCCACACGCAGGACG